AGAAGUAUUGUAAUUAUUAGUAAAGGCGUGACACAUGGAAAUACGAAUAGUGUUGUAGUUAUAUGAUUAGGGGGUUGAUGUGAAGGAAUCAUUGGUGUAGGGGUGAAAGUGCAAUAAGUGAAUAUGUAUAUAUAUGUUGGAACGUACAGGGAAAUCAUUUUUUCUUUCCCUUUUCCUUCUUUUUUUCUUCUUCUUUCUCGUUUCUCUCUGCUCCUCCUCCAAAAACACCCCCUACACUUCUCUCCUCGAUUUCAUCUACUGAGGGCGUGAUUUCGAACAAAGCCCAAGAAUUAAAGUUGUUAUACGGAGCGCAGGCUUCCUAUCCAUCCAAGAAAAAUCAAGAUCGGACCUCGCGGAGCUACGGUUGACUUGGUCAAAGGGUCGGGUUUUGCUCAAAACCCUUGAGGUAUGAUUCAAGGAUGUUGGCAUGGAGUGCUUGUUGUGCAUUUAUGACCAAACCUUUAAAAGGUAUUUAAGAAGGAUUUCAUAGCACAAGAUCUGAAAGAGCAUUUUUAGGAAAGAUAUUAUUUAUAAAUUGUAAUAAUAUUUCCGUAGGAUACUGGUAUUUCGAUGACUUGGGGCCUUCGAGUUGGAAAUGUAAUAUUUAAAUUUUAUUUGAGAACAGUGAACAAAAAGGUCUUUUGGGGUAUU